UUUCCAAGAUCCCUGGGGCAACAAUCCCUUCGAGUUGAUUGCAGUGCAUGGAAAGAAGAAGUCCUCUCAGACAAGCUAGUGUGUUAAAGCCACUAAGAGGAUCUGCUGUGCCCAGCUGUGGCAGAAGGCUGCCUUCCCUGCACUGCCCAGUGAGUGUAGAAGCUCUCUGGCAUUGGCAUGCCUGGCAUUUCAUGCGUGGUGCCCAACACUAGCACAGUGAAGCCCAGGUUUCCAGGAAGCCCAAAAGUCCACGUGGGCACAUCCCUGGAGAAGACAGCCACAGCUCAGCCUCCUGUUUUACCUCUUGGACUGCCGUGUCCCUCUGAGACAGACUCCAUUGAGAUCUCUGUGAAAUGAAAGAUGUGACUUACCAGUAUCACACAAGCUGUUCCAAGAAUAUCAGCAAGGCACUGGAAAAUGGCAGGGGGACUGGAGACUUUCCUGAGAAGGUUUUACCCAGUGAUGGAAAAUAUAUUUGUGCUAUUACUUUAGCACAAGUGUCUUCUAUAAUGCUAAGGUUUGCUUUCAAAUAAAACAUAAAUUGCACAUCUGGUUGGAAGAAAU
rnacentral:lncRNA from 1 species